rnacentral:lncRNA from 1 species
UAUACUUUGAGGCUGAAGCCUAGCGGGAAGAAGCCAACGCAGCUACUCAGGUGACCUCACAGUGAUCAAGUGGGUUGGCAAGGGGCUUCAGGAAAACGGGCGGCAUACCCACACCAGAGGUUCCUCAUCUGGAGAGCGAUGGGGCAUGAUCCCUUAGGGCUUGCAAACAAUAGCGAGGAAACUGAGUAUAGGCAGUGUUAUUAGCAUGGAGAAGAACUCCAGGUGCUGUGUGAUAUGGGUCCUCUCAGUUGUGUAUCCUGGUUACAGGUUCCAGAGCAGGUACAGAUAUAGGUACGAAUCUGGACGCCUGUCCUCAAAUCUCUCUGAGAUUCUUUGGUUUUUUUUUUUUUUUUUUUUUUUUAGAUUUAUUUAUUUAUUAUAUGUAAGUACACUGUAGCUGUCUUUCAGACACUCCAGAAGAGGGCAUCAGAUUUCGUUAUGGAUGGUUGUGAGCCACCAUGUGGUUGCUGGGAUUUGAACUCGGGACCUUCAGAAGAGCAGUCGGCGCUCUUAACCACUGAGCCAUCUCACCAGCCCCGAUUCUUUGGUUUUGAGCUCACUCAACCUUACCAGUUCUUAUGCCUGUCCCACACGCCCUACAGCUUAUUAAAAGAAAUACUUUUAUCUGGGUGGUGGUGGCAUACACCUUUGAUCACAGCACUUGGGAGGCAGGCCUGAUCUAAGGAGCUCCCAGGAAAACCAGAGCUAUACAGGGAAACCUUAUCUU